rnacentral:lncRNA from 1 species
AUUGUGCAAUAGCAAGAAAUUUUCAAUUGCACAGUAUUCAGCAAUAGCAAGAAAUCUUCAAUUGCACAGUAUUGUGCAAUAGCAAGAAAUUUCAAUUGCACAGUAUUGCACAAUAGCAAGAAAUCUUCAAUUGCACAGUAUUGUGCAAUAGCAAGAAAUAACUAAUUGCACAAUAUUGUGCAAUAGCAAGAAAUUUUCAAUUGGAGUUAUCUUUCUUUGUUCAGAAUAGUAGUUGAAUCAACUUAAAUCAUUGUUUGAUACAAUAUACAAUGUAUAUUCACUUUUACUACCAACCAAUCUUUACCAUUCAGUGAUAACAAGCACUUUAUUUUACAUUUUAAUAUUUUAUGAUGUAUUUAAAAGAGUAGUUAUUGUCGCAAACUCCAUUAGAAAUUUGAAUUGAAAUCAGUUUUGGAAAAAGGGAAAGGGGGAUGUAAAAAAAAAAUGGGGGGGGGGGGGGGGUUAAAUUUUUCUCAUUUCAGAUUUCAUAAAUAAAAAGAAAAUUUCUUCAAACAUUUUUUUGAGAGGAUUAAUAUUCAACAGCAUAGUGAAUUGCUCAAAGGCAAAAAAAAAAAUUUUUAAGUUCAUUAGACCACAUUCAUUCUGUGUCAGAAACCUAUGCUGUGUCAACUAUUUAAUUUUAGAUUUAAAUAAGUUUGAAGAAGAAAUCUUUAAUUGAUUUGUAAAAUCUUGACAUUUGUUUUGUGUAAAAAAAACCAUAUAAUGUCAAAAAUUUGAUCACAAUCCAAAUUCAGAGCUGUAUCACGCUUGAAUGUUUUGUCCAUACUUGCCCCAACUGUUCAGGGUUCGACCUCUGCGGUCGUAUAAAGCUGCGCCCUGCGGAGCACCUGGUUAAAUGAUUUUGUAAUUUCAAUAUGUGAUUCACUAUAAAUUAUAAGGAUCUUGUUUAACUUCUUUAUAAAUAUCAUUUAGUAGUCUUUGUAGAUAUCAAUUUUUUUUUCAUGUGCUUCAUGUAGAGAUGGGUUAUGCUGACUUGUUCAGAGUUUUCAAGAACUUUCAACUUAAGACUCUAUUACCUGUACUUUUAAUAGUGAAAGGACAUUAAAGAAAUUUUUAAACUUAUUUUUUUUGCAAAAAUAAGUUUGCUAUGACUGUCUUUUCUUGUGUGAACUACUAACAUAAAAUUUCAUACUUGAACAGCUUAACAUUUAUGAGUUGUAAGUUGUAACAUUUGAGAAUUUUUCAAAUUUGUGUGAUACCUACAUCCUGUUUGCAAAUACUUUAAAUUUUGAAACAUCUUGAAUGGACUUUUUCAUUACACUUUUCUUUAGUACUACUGUACAGAAUGAUUUCAUAUUUAGUCAGCAGCUUAUUGGCGGUGUGUUGAAACGUGAGCAAUUUUGGAUCUGUUUGACACCUAUUUCCUGUUAUCUGAUACUUUAAAUUACAAGUGGGGUAUGCUAGGCACAACAUGGUGUGCAGUAUUGUUACGCAUUGGAAUUAUAUGAUUUUGGUUAUUUUGCUACAGUUUCAGCCAAUCAGCUAUUUACUAAUAUUUACAUCUGACCUGUAGAGUGCAAGCAAUUGGAAGUGUGGUCCAAUAUAUUCAAGAGCUAAGGACUUCUUGAUGCUUAGUUGAUCAGGAUUGUUGGUACAGAAUGAAAGAGUUUUUCUUGAUUUACAUAGUACAAAGUAGAAGUCCACAAAAAAAGUAUGAAAGAUAAAUAUAAAUAGGGAUGCUUAAAUACAAAUUAUGAAAAGAUGGCUAAGUAAAUAAAAUGAUGCCUUCCAAAAAUUAGGGCAGACAUUCUACUGUUUGUCUAUAUGUCAAAUACUCAAAGUCUAAAGUAAAAGUAUGAGUGUUGUAUCCCAAAUAUUUUUUGUUAUGUAAUGUUAAAGUGUACAUCAAUAUAAAAUAGAAAGAUGUUCUCUGUUGUUAUAAGAAAUACCCACAAUGCUUACUUGAUUUACUAUAUUUAGAAAGUUGUUACACUGUUUCUCAUGUUUGUUAUAUCAUUAUACUUAACACUACUAUAUUUUGUUUCAUUGUUAAGAAUACUUGAACAAUAAGAGAGAUACUUGUGAAUUGUGAUAUAUUUUGUUCGUAUGAUUGAGAAAAUGUAAACAAUAAAAUAUUUGUAAUUUUUUGUGUAAAUUUGCCUUACCAGCUUGACAUUUCUUCUUAUUCCAAACAUGCCUUAGAGUCUGAUGUUCAUACUUUUUGGGCACACAGUCUUGAGUUGUUGGUAUAUUUCACCCUAAGAAUCCAUAAAGAGUUAAUUUUCUUGUAACUUCUCAACUUAUUAAAACUAAAAUUGUCUGAAUUAUGCCAAGACCAUACCAUUCAAAAUUAUGAACAACAUUUGGGUCAAUUUUGUUCUACAUGGUCACAGUGACACUAUUACUUAACAUUGAAAAUUGUUAGGUAUAGUGAUCAUUUAAGGUUGUAUUUGAUAAAACCUACCUUUACACAUAUUAUUUAAACAGAAUACCUGUUUAUGUUGCAUUCAAAGGGUCAAUGCCAGCUUUUUCCAUCUCUUUGUGUUAGUUGUCUAUUAAAUUUUACAAAAGUCAUCUCCUACUGGGCCAAAUUUAGUCAAAUUUGUCACUAUCAUCAUUGGGUUAUCUAAGGCAGAGAAAAAGAACAUGGAAGGUAAAAUGCAAGUGUCAUCUUUUUUUGAGGAAACUGGUAUAGAGAAAAUCUGUUGAGAUCCAGAAAUAGGACAAAUAGCAGAAAUUGUCUACCAUUUCCAUUAUUGUAGUAAUAUCUCAUAUUAAAUGAUGAUUCUUACUCAGCAUCUGUUUUGCAUGUUUUUCAAAAUCUACAGUAGAUGAAAAAGUCAACUUCCAAAAGUCUAGAGCUGGAAUAUCAUUUCCACAAGAAUAAGUGUUACAGUUUAUGUUUCUAACGGAAUAAAUGGUAUAGAAUAUUUGUUCCAACAGGAAUAGAUAUUAUGACAAUGUUUAUAACAAAGUUUCCAAAUAUACGUUGACACUACCCAAAAUACUUGUCACCAUUACAAAAAUGGUUAUUAUCAACAGUAUCUUUUAAUAUAAACAAAUUGGCUGCAACAACUGUAAGGAAGCAAGAUACAAGUUCAAAAAAAAUUAAGUAUCAUUGUGGGUAUUUGUCAACACCCAAUUGUAAGUUUUAUCAUUAGGUCAUUUUCAGAACAAGUUCUGUUGAUAGACCUUUGAUUGCUAUUGAGUAUACGGCAAUAUUGGUUUGAAAUCGAACUUCAGGAUUAAUGUAUUUUAUCAUUGUCAUACCUUUAGAUCAUAACAGAUAAAGAAAUCUUAUUGAAUGUAAGCAUGGAUCUAUCUAAGUUGGGAGUUAUUGCCCCUUACCUGAGUAUAUCCCUAAUGCACUUCAUGUGAGUUUGGAAUGAAAUAUGACACGGUACUGUAAUUGUUUCAUCUGAACUAAAUUGUUCUGUAUGAUAUAAACGCAAGUACCCCUCACUUAAUUUGGAAUUAAACUUAUACUUUAGGAAGGGGAUUUGGGUUUAAUAGAUAAAAGAUCAAGGUCACUUAUUAAAAGGGAAAAUAAAUAUUGAAGAAUGGUUUCUUAAUUGUUACUUUUGUUUCCCUUUCUUGAUACUAUUUUUUAUGGGGAUUUUAGUUUCCCUUGUUUGGUUGGACGGAAAUAUAUAAGGAUGAGUGAAACGCCUGUAGAUCAAAAAUCUAUAGGUCAAUUUCUGAAUAUAGAACAACCGUAUUUAUGGUAAUUCGAGUUUCCCUUGUGAAUUCAAACUUCCUUUGACGAGAGCAACCCCUAUUCAUUUUGGGGUCAAUUGUCAAUGUUGUCCAGGUUGAUUUUAUUAAAAUAAAUACUUUUUGUAACGUUAGAUUGGUCGCCAUAUGGUAUCCCACUAUAAAUUGACAAGCAUUAUACAGGUGAAAAAUAAGGAUGAUUAGUAUGUUUAUUUGUCCCGCCAAUCAUACAACUAUUUAUACUCGAAACAAAAUGGUAUUGGGGUCACAACAAUUCCAACAUACUUUUAAUAGAGAAAUCAUGUAUGAAAUGAUAUCUUACUUCCUAAUCCUGAAACUUUAUUGAAUAUGUAUAAAUCAUCCUAAGGAUAGACAUCUUACUUACAAAGUCAUCAAAGAGACUGUUUCAAUACUUCGUGGUCGGACUCUGUGUUUUUCUGGAACAUUGUGAUUAUAAUACAGGAGCAAUGUUACAAAGAAAUCAUACCCUUUAGACAGUUGAAUCACAGCCUCAUUGGUUUUAAUCGAACUAAAGUUCUUGUCAUAUGAUAUGAGAAAAGACACUGGAAUGAUAUCUUUUGGGGGAUCCGAGGAAGAUUUUGAAUAAAAGAAACUUACAGCCUUUCAACAUGAAAAAGAAAUAGCCUUUUCUAUUUGAUUAUAAUCAUCUAAGAUAUUAUUAAAUGAAAGUACAAUUUUUAAACAUGCAUUAUUACAUUUUAUACGUACACGCAAACGUUCCGUAUUAUGCUUUUUUAUGAUUUCAAGUUAACGGAUACAAUUUAGAAAUAUUGGUUUCAAAGGGGAUGAGUAACGAUUGUCAUUUUGUAUUAUCAGGAAAAUGUUAGACACUGACUAAGGGCAUAUUUGUUUUCUUUCAAUUUUUAUUUAUCAUAAUAGAUGUUCCUGAACAUUCAAACUCGGGUGUAUACUAUGAUUCCUCCGUACAGUCGGUGAACAUUCCGGUAUCGAUUUGUUAUUCAUAAAACAUUCCGGUGUCGAUUUGUUAUUGAUCUUAUCAUGUCUCAAUUUUUACCAUUCCUGUUACAUUUCUUAUAAAUAAAAAUAUAAUUUGAUCUUAAUACUUCCGUCUUUUCUUAUUGUACAUUAUCCCGAAGCUGUCCAUUCGUUCAUUAGAUAAGGAAUUUCAAGUGAUUCCAGGACGUCCGUGUCCGUCUAACUUAAAUACACCGGUAUGUCCUUGGUCUGACCUCCCGACAUUUACUUUUCCUUCUCAAACAAUUGUAAACACUUUUUUUUUUCGAGAACUCAAGGAUAAGCAAACAUAUAAGUGUAGGCGGUCGGUUAAUUAUGCAUUAUAACAUAAUCAUAAAUCACUGUCAGUUGACAUGGUUUAAUUAAAAUGGUUAGUAAAUGGUUCGUAUAUAAUUGACCUGGUUACAUAUUUCAAAAACAAGGACCUGAUAACAUUAAAUUAAAAAAAAAAAUAUGCAUAAUGAUGGCCAAAGAUCUGGGCUGAUAUGCAUAAAACUACUUAGGUUAAGAUUUCCAAUCGUAGUACCAGUUGAUUGUAGGACACGUAGAAAAACUUCGUCCGUUUAGAACAAAUCUUAACUUUAGUAGUUUUUUAUGCAUACUGUACGGUUUUACUGACUAUAUUGUAAUAUUAUAUACAAUUUGAAAGCUCAUAACUUGUUAUUUAAACCAUAUCUUGUAACUUUUGCAAACCAAUUGUAGGCAUCUUUCAUUUUUGGAAAAUGACGCUCUCAGCAACAUGUUUCCGAUACUAUUGACCUGAACUUCCAUUACAUUUCUCUGCCUACCGCGCUUGGUUUCGUAUUUACUAUUUUACAUACAAACUGGAAUCUGCUUGUAUUAUUAUUAUUGUGUAGUAAUCAACCGGGAACCAGUUUAUAUACUUUAUUUACAGAACAUUUUGACCUGUUCAUAUGUUUAUUGUUAUUAAAUAGUAUGGACUCAAUGGUAUUUUAAGCUUUCCCACUGUAUAUUUUCAUAUUUAUUCAAGCUUUCUCUUUUAUCUACGUAAUAAUCAAAUAGAUCCGUUUUUACAUGGUUCUGGACUUUUCACACACAAAUGAUCAGCAAUCGCUAGACAAAAUAGUUCUCCUUAAUAAUGCUAGCCUUUCUUACCACUUCAACUUAACAACCAUUAAAAAAGUAUUAAUCGGAAUCAUCCUCACAUCCAUUGGAUAGAUACUGGUCUUUAUCCAGAUUUACGAAGUUUUGAAUAAUCGGAAAUUAGUGAUACGGUUAUACCAACGCGGUGCGUAUGAAUCGUCUGAUGACACAUGGUCUCCGGUCCUUCUUACUACCGAAAAGAUCGAAGUGUACCAACGCGAUGUUGUUAAGAUACUCAUAAAUCUAUUUUUAUAACUUUAUUGAUUAUGUGAAGUAAAACUAAACAUUGUUAGAACAUUAAAGAUAUAUAAUUAAUCGGGGGAAACUUGAUAGUCUUUUCGUUUUACAAACAACUGCCUUUAUUAUAAGAAAAUAUAAUGUGUCCGUGUUGGUCCACUUUCUACAAAACUAAAUAUAAUUAGAGACCCAUUGUUUUCCAUAAUUAGUGAAAUAGUUCCAUCUUUUUUAAAUAUGACUAAUGAAGCAAGAUUUAAAUUUUUGUAUACGUGUGGUGGGACUGAUAUAAUUAGAAUUAUUGUUAAAUUUAUAAGCGACAUGUACAUUUCUAGAAAUGCUUUUUGAGGUACCACCUCCUCAUAUAUAUAUAUAUAUACAAUGUUUAUGAAUUUGGUAUGAUAUAUAUGUUUUGUAUUGUCUUGGUAUCAAUCCUGUAAUUUUGGAUUUCAAAC